AAUCAAAGCAACAGUUGUGGCGCAGUUCUAAAUGAGUGACUACUCUAGCUUGAUGAUUACUGCUUAUAAACAUAUAUCUUAGAAGUGAUCCAGGGAAGUUACCAGUCUUCAACCAUUGUGAUACAGCAGUCUCAGAGAGAAAUGGCACCUACUAAAUCUGCUGCUACUUGCCCCUUCAAAAUCCCCAAUAAGUUCCUGAAAGUUGUUGGAGAGGGCGGCUUUGGAACAGUGGUGAAAUGUUUGAAAAUCAGGACCGGUGAGACUGUGGCUAUAAAGUUUCCUACAUGCAGGAGCCACUAAAUCACGAGGGAGCUGCAGUUGGAGGAAAAUCAUGAGACUGAAGCCGUAGAGAGAGAGAGAGAGAGAGAGAGAGAGAGCAGUAUAUCGAGCUCCUGAAGGCCAUGCUGAAAGUUGAUGCAAGGGAGAGAAUCACUCCCUGUGAGGUCCUCACUCAUCUAUUCAUCACAAAAGACUACCCGAAGUCACAACAUGCUAGCGCGCUGUGUGUUGACGUGUUACAGUACAUGGAAAAUGAAAUGGCAAAAGCCAUCCAGAGCGCACUUUCUAAAGCACAGAAUAGAAGAUGUAGGAGAAACGUGUAAAGGAGAAAGGCUGACUGGAUGAAGGUUUCAAUCCAGAGGUGAGGUGUGACUGUAGAACACACGCGCACAAAAUGUCCGUGCAGGAUUCCACGGUUGCUGUGUUUUUCUCCAGGUGCAUCAUUUCUAUCAGGUCUUCAUUUAAAAACAAACGCAGCCAGACACUGUCAACAUGAGAGACUUUACAGACUUCACUCAUCAACCCAAACCCCAGAUUUUUGUUUCUGUCCUGUCCUCCAACAUGGAACAUGUGAGACUUGAACAAUUUGACAGUCUGAUGGUGUUUUCUGUGUGUUUUGAAGCCUGACAGGUGAAAGUCGUCACAGACUAAUAAAGUGUAGAGAAAAGAAUAAAGGUUACUAAAGUAUUUAGAAAUGAAGCAGCUGUUUCACAUCCACAUCUACAUCAUGUAAUGGGAGGCAGUGGUGGACAGGGGAGAGGAGUUUGGUCCCAGCACCUCCAUCCAUCAACGUUCCCCCCCCGGCCCACCUGCCAACCAGCCGAGCUCCACUGGUGUGAACCGCGCCGGUCCAGUGAAGAUACACAACUGCUCAGUGGAAGAUUACCAGAGAGUCUAUGAAGUGGUGGACAACCUGCUGAGGUACCAGAGCGGCCGGGUUCAUCCGUACAGUUUCCAGCUGGGACGGCGUAUCACAUGGAAGCUGUGGGAGAGACUGGACCGCCCCGCCAUGACAUCAUCGACCCAUCAAGAUGGACUCACACACGUGGACGUCUCGUACGGGGCUGGAUUCUCUCCUCCCCUCUACGAUGUAGACACUUUGGGAGAACCGAGCCCCGGACAGCCUCCACUUAAAAGAGCCAAGAAGUCCGACUGACCUGAGAGCAGCGGCUUCACUCUAACAUUCUGUAAUAAGAUCAAAUCCAGCGAGUAAAUAUUUGAGACGGCAACACAACUGGCCUCAUUUACACCAGAAUAUACAGCCUCCAUCAGUAAUCAAGACACAACCUCUGAGAGCCAUCUGGAGUAAGAGGCUCCACAAGUCUCCUCCAGUCACUUUAAAACCUAAACCGUGCAUUUUUACUACGUCAGCCCUCCGCUGCUCCAGUCUCCACCUGCAGACAGCAGACAGCUGCAAAGACUUACUCCACCCGAAUCUUCCGCCAAGAACAUCCACUGCCAGCACCGCCUGUAAAUUCUUGUCGUCAGCUACAACGUGAUUCAUCCAACUGCAGCUGCUUCCAAUUCCUGCCUCCACCUGCUGCCUCUGCCAGAAACCUGCAGCCACCAGCCCCACCUGCAGAUUCUCGCAGAGAACUGGAACAAGUCCACCUACAGCCUCUGCCAGCAACAUCUACUGCAACCUCCACCUGUGGAUUCUGUCAGAUCGCUGCAACCCAUGUCCUACAACUAAAGUCCUCUUCUAGAAACCUGCACCUCUGACUCCACUUAAGUAUCUUCCAUCUUUCUGCCUUCAGUCUCUGCCAGUAACCUGUAGUUUCCUCCACCAACAGAUUCUGAAAGACUAGUAAGACCACUGCCUCCACCUCCAUCCUCGACUGAUAUACAAGUACUGCUGCCUCCGUCAGUCAGUAGAUCUGUGCUGACAAACACAAGCCUCCACCUAAAGCCUCUGUCAGGAACCUGCAGCUGCCUCAUCCACCUGCAGAUCCUGCUAGGAAACUGCAGCCCAAACCUCCACCUAAAUUGUCUUCCAUCUUCUGCUGACAGCUUCUACCUGUAACCUUUUCUGUGUCUACCCACAGAUUUUGGAAGCCUCCACCUCCAACAUCCAUCCUCAGCUGAAAAACAACCACGCUGCCUUCAUCAGAUUUGCACAGACACAAGCCACCACCUAAAGUCUCUGCCAGCAACCUGCAGUGGCGAACUCCACCUGCAGAGGCCAUGACCUAAACUCCACUUUUAGCCUCUGCCAAUAACCUGCAGCCACUACCUCCACCUCCACCAUUCUUGCAGACAGUUGAAGCCCAAACCUCUUUCUACAGCCUAUGCAAGCAACCUCAAGCUUCCUCCACCUGUAGAUUCUUGCAGAUAGCUGUAGUCAAACCCUCUGCCUCCAUCAUCUGCAGCCUGAACCUCCACCCGCAGCCUCUGCCACAAACCUGAAACCACUGCUUCAUCCUGCUUAUUCUGACCUGUAGCAUAAUCCUCCACUUACAGCUUCUUCUAGCAACCUGCAGUCCCCUCCACCUGCAGAUGGUUGCAAACUGCUACAGCCCCCACCAGAAACAUCCACUGCCAGUAAACAUCCAGUGAGUCAAGUGCAGUAAGUGCUGAACUAAAGAGUCGUUAUAGAAGGAUCUGAACUCCAUGUGAGAUGGAUAAAGACACAUUUUCAGAACUUUAUUUUGUUUUGUAUCAUCUCAGACAAACAUCAGUUGGUGGAUCAAUGCUGUUCCUAAAGGCAUCGUCAAACUGGAUCAGCUGUCGAUCAUAAAGGGAGUCCAAGCUGUGUCAUCAUCAUGGCACUGUCCUCCAAAGAGCUGCUAGAGAUCAUCAUUACACUGAGCUACGGUGACCACAGACGCAUUUGGCUGACAGUCACCAGUUAACAUAGCCCCGUGUUGAUCCUAAACACCGGCUGUGGGGAUGGUGGCACCUGCUCUCGGCGUGACGGAGAGGGUUGGUUCGCCCCCACUGACCAGCGUCAACGGACUCUUCAGAAAUCCAGACUUUACCUGGUGACAGUUGCUGUAACUGUCAGUGGUAAAGUGGACACUGCAGAGACAGGUGUAUGUGGUGAUUAUGAACCCACAGUAGCUCCUCUUGACAAAAUUGAUCCACCGUUUUCCUUAUGUUGUAGUCUGUACGAAACUUAAAAAAGCUAACGGCGCCGUUACCCUGCACACGGCAUCCAGGAAAGAUGCACGAGCGACGUGGAGGAAGCAUGACUGGUUAGCUGACUGGUUGACUGGUUAGACGCUAUCCGAGACUGGAGAGCGAGCAGAACAACCACCGAUGCUAAUGUGCACUGAACGUAUUUAUACCGCUCCCGCAGCAGCCUUCCGCGUUACGUAACGCGGCUAUGAUUUUAAAACACAGUUUGUGAGCCUAGCUCCACAGUUAAAUUCUAAAUGGUUGAAAGACUUUUUAUAUGUUUUAAAGAAGUACAUUUAUGACCUAUUUCUUGUGUUUAGAAGAAAAUGGCUGAAUUUGCUUUACACUGACUUUAAUCAUUCUUUUUUUUUUUCACCAUGGGAGGCCAACUCAGCUCGGCGUCCUCACAGACAACCGAGUGCAGUACCAUGUUUUCAACGUUAACUCACCACGUAACAUUUAGAGGGGUGCCAUUUUACACAUCAUAACACCCUCAAUAAUUAAUGAAGAGAGACGAGGAGGAGACACAACACAGAAACUGUGUUUUAUUAAAUGACAGUUAUAUUCUGAAAAAAAUGAGGAGGCUUCCCUUGGCCUCCGCAAGAAACCGACAUCUCGGUGGAUCGGCUCCAGUGCCAACCCGUACCGGCUGCUUUAAUUUAGUGACAUUCUGUGUAAUAAAAAGUUAUUUUGUGCAUGAGUUCUAAUUUCUGUCCUGUGUGUGUGUGCGUGCGUGUGAAGGAUGGUGUUGGUGUCUUUAACCAUUGUGAUACAGGUGAGUAACUCCUUCUUUUCUGUUUCAGGGGUCAGACAGUUGACAUGAAUUGAUAAUAUUACAAAUGGUUAAGUUAUUUGCAGGAAAUCAGACCUCAGAGAGAGAAUCUGUAUGCUUAUUUAAAGUAGACUGAUCUCAAAUUUAGCAACUUUGAAGUGAAUAUUAACACUGAGUGGAAUUUCCCUUGAUUUUUUCGCUUUGAUUGGUGACAGGGUAGAAACCACUGGUUGGUAGCAAAAUAAAUAUACACAAUCUGUAGAACAAUAUCUGAAAAAUGGUUAGUGUGUAUGAGAGUGUUUCAGUAGUGUGUAUGAGCGUGUUUCACUUACUUGUAUGUAUGAUAAUGUUUCAGUAGUGUAUAUAAGAGCAUUUCACAUGUAUGUGUGAGAGUGUUUUAGUAGUGUGUGUGAGUGAAUAAUUUUUCAGUUGUUUAUGUUAGAGUGUUUCAGUAGUGUAUGUAAGAGCAUUUCACAUGUGUUUGUGAGAGGUAAUUCUGAAUAAUGUCCCUGACGGCCCCUCAUACAACGACCUCAACCCUGACAAACAACACAACAAGUUUAUCCAUAGUUUUCAGACCAGUGAUGGAGAGGCGCUUGUGUAUGAGCCAUUGGAUAUCAGCCUUUAUGACUACAUGAAGAAGAGAAAUGAUGACCCUAUGCCUCUGAGUGACAUCAGAACCAUCAUCCAACAGGCAUGAACACAGCACCAUCAGAU